rnacentral:rRNA from 1 species
GUGAGGAAUAUUGGACAAUGGGCGCAAGCCUGAUCCAACCAUGCCGCGUGCAGGAAGACGCAUCUAUGGUGUGUAAACUGCUUUUGUACGGGAAGAAACACUCCCUCGUGAGGGAGCUUUACGGUACCGUAAGAAUAAGGAUCGGCUAACUCCGUGCCACCAGCCGCGGUAAUCCGGAGGAUCCAAGCGUUAUCCGGAAACAUUGGGUUAAAAGGGUCCGUAGGCGGUUUAAUAAGUCAGUGGUAGAAGGCCAUCGCUCAACGAUGGAACGGCCAUUGAUACUGUUAGACUUGAAUUACAAGGAAGUAACUAGAAUAUGUAGUGUAGCGGUGAAAUGCUUAGAUAUUACAUGGAAUACCAAUUGCGAAGGCAGGUUACUACUUGUGGAUUGACGCUGAUGGACGAAAGCGUGGGGAGCGAACAGGAUUAGAAACCCGUGUAGUCC